GGGACGGAUCGAUCCGCUGUUUCUUUCAUCGACACCCAACGCAUAUCCUGCUCCAUUCAGGAGGGCAUCUCACCCAACGCACAUCGCCGCCGCCGCCAUCCUCCGACGGAGCUCGCCGCCGGCCAUGGUCUCCACUACCUUCUCCUCCUCCCGUCCCGUCAUCAGAAGAGAGGAGGGAGGGAGUUCCACCGCGACCGCGAACCAGCAGUCUUCUCUUCCUCCUUCGCUGUUGCAGCGGCCGGCCGGUGGAUCAGCUAAGCGAGCUAGCGAAGCGAAGCAAGGCCCGACGGAUGGUGCCGCCUCGCGGUCGUCUGGCCCUCCUCCUCCUUCUCGCGCUGUCGGCGGCGCUCGCCCCCGGCCGCGCGGCCGCCACCGGCGUCUUCGAGGUGCGUCGCAAGUUCCCGUGCCACGACGGGAGCGGCAAGCACCUGGCGAACCUCCGGGCGCAUGACGCUCGCCGCCACGGCCGCUCCCUUGCCGCCGCCGUCGACCUGCCCCUCGGCGGCAAUGCCCUCCCCUACGAGACCGGGCUCUACUUCACGCAGAUUGGGAUUGGCACACCGGCCAAGAGCUACUACGUGCAGGUGGACACCAGCAGCGAUAUAUUCUGGGUCAACUGCGUCUUCUGCGACACCUGCCCCCGCAAGAGCGGCCUCGGGGUACUCCCAUCUCUUCCGUUUCCCCUGCAAUUGCUCUGCUCUGCGGAUUUGAUCCACCGUGGCCGCGGGGGAGGACAUAGUGCAGCACCUCUCGUCCAACUCCAACCCGUCCUCGUCCAAGCUCGCCAAGAUCGAGGCGCGCAUGGCCGGCAAGGCCGUCUGGGUGCCGCCCCCGUCGCCACCGCACCACCCAGACUACCAAAUAAAGUCACCCAGUGGUUUGGGCUCCAUAUCGGUGUCAGUUUCUGGGAGGCGGUGAACUUGACAAAUAUGCAUCCAUCAAGCACCAUAUGGAAGGAAGUGCUCACCGUUGCUCAAGGCGACUCCAUGUCAGUCUGUGUGAUAAACUUCGGUACACGGACUCCGUUCGUGUCUUCAUUGGAGCUGAGGCCACUGCAAGAUGCGAUGUACCCUUUUGUGAAUUCGUCGAUGUCAAUCAGCUACUUCAGACGAAUACGAUUUGGUACUGCCACUGAAUAUAUCACAAGAUAUCCAUUGGACCCUUAUGACCGGUUCUGGGAGGGCUGGUCUUUCUCCUACAACACCUACCCCUGGAUGACCCUAAACACUAGCACUCAAGUGAGGAGGGUACCCGGCGACAACACCUUCCAGGUACCAGAGGGCAUCCUCCAGGGGGCCACAACAUUAGACACAAACUACUCCUUUUUCGAGAUCAACGUAGCGGCGGGUCCCAACCUGGACGCCAAGAACCUACAGCUUCUCCCGAUCUUCCACUUUGCCGAGAUCAACAUCAGCAACCAGAACAGGAGGUUCGACAUCUACAGCGACAACGACUUGCUAUUUCCAGACUUCUCGCCGUCACGAUUCCAGGCGGACAGCAUGCACCAAAACGGGCGGUUGUUGCACAACCCUGCUGGGAUCUUCCUCCUGAACAAGACACGCAGCCCAAGGCUCCCGCCGCUCAUCAAUGCGUUUGAGGUGUACUCGCCAGUGCGGAUGGAUAACCUCACCACUGACGCCGAGGAUGCCCAUUAUAUGAACGAAGUCAAGAAGCACUACAAUUUGGCACGAAUAAACUGGAAUGGAGAUCCAUGCUCCCCAAGAGAGUAUUCCUGGGAAGGUUUGACUUGCGACUACUCCAAGAGGAACCAGAAUCCAAGGAUUGUUGCAGUAGAUUUAUCUACCAGUGGACUGAAAGGUGGAUUGGUCAUAGCCUUCAUGAACAUGGUAUCAUUGGAAAACUUGUUGCCACGCGGAUGCCAUGAAGGCAUUUGUUUUAGUGCCAAAUAUUACGUACUAAUGCCUGCAAAGUAUCGUUGUGUAUUAUAUUUGCUAUGGAGCUAUGUAUGUAUGGAUGCUAUGGAACUAUAUGUAUAUAUGGAUGCUAUGGAAUUUUGGAUGUAUGUAUGCUAUGGAAUUUUGAUAUAUGGAUCAUGAAAUUUGUUAUGCAAUUUGC